CAAGAGUCCAGACCUGAUUUUGAUACAUGGAAUCCAUCUUGGAUUUCAUGGCCUCUUGCCAUCUCUUUGAAUCAAUGUCGAACAUUGCUUCAAUGUAGUCUCUAGGGUCCUCCUUCAUGUCAUUGUCACCUAGAAGGUGCAAUUCCCCAAAGUCAUUAUCUAAGCCAUACCUCUUAGGAGGCUUGCUGACCCGUUCAGAUCUACUUGAAGCUAGGGGUUCAGGAAUAGGGUUGUUAACUUGUCGAGUGCUUGUUUGUGGUUCAUCAUUAAUCUCAUUAAUUUCCAUCAUUUUACUUGUAGUUCAUUUGAGAACAAAUUUGUCCUCUAGAAACUUAGCAGUUCUGGCGACAAAGACUUUAUGGUCGUCAAGAUGGUAGAACUCAUAUCCCAUAAUUUCUUUAGGAUAUCCCACAAAAUAGUACCUAACGGAUCUCACUUCAAGCUUAAUAGCUUCAAGCUUCUUGACAUAUGCUUCACAACUCCAAAUCUUAAUAUGAUUAAGACUUGGCUUUUUGCCAUGCC
rnacentral:lncRNA from 1 species